GUAAACUUACCGGGGAAGUAGCAUCAGCUAAUAAUAAUGAGCAUUAGCAUAGAGUUGACGACGAUAGCUGUGCUAAUAUACUUUAUAGAUCUUUUAUAUAACACGUCCUCACAAAGGGAGCUGCUUCAUCUUGUCCGGUAACAUAUUUAAGGAGGGCAGCGUGUUUGUUGGGCUCGGUGAAUUAGAUUGCAGUCAUAUUUUUCUUGCCGAUCGGACAUUUUGUCAUGUCGGAGGGGAAGUCCAUGACAUAACUUUCAUUGAAGCAGUCGGUGUGGAAAAGUGUGUUUUCUUUAGCUUUUCAUUCUUGGAUUUGGAUCUUGUGUUCAUGCUUUGUAAAGUUGACUUAUGUUCUGUGUUUAUAUUUUUAUAACUGGACAUUGAAUUGUGUAGAGUUUAAAAAGGAUAGAAGAGGUCAAAAGUUUACACAAUCAGAAGAAUCAUGUGGACAACUCACCCAACGUGGGAGGAGUGUUGGAGCAGCAGAGACCCUUAGAGGAGAUUCUUCACCAGGGAGAACACUCCCAUAGUGACACCACCAACAGAGGACCCCAGACCAGAGAAAGGAGUAAACUGAAAGGUCUACAAAUAUGGAUACUCUUGUAGUUUCAAGUGUGUUCUGGGGGGCUUCCACUGACUCACUCUCCCACAAAAAUCAUCUUUAUUCUCUGGUCUUCAAAGGAGGAAGUGGACACUGAAUGAUGAUCGUACAACGAGGAAUCAAACUUAUGAAGUAAACUGGUGUGAACACAAAUGAUCAGAAAUCUCUACAACCAGGACUGUAGUCAAAGCAGCUCGGCUGAAGUGAAGUGAAGCAGAUGA